rnacentral:rRNA from 1 species
UACGGAGGGUGCAAGCGUUAUCCGGAUUUAUUGGGUUUAAAGGGUGCGUAGGCGGUAUAUUAAGUCAGUGGUGAAAUUUUGCAGCUUAACUGUAGCAUUGCCAUUGAAACUGAUGUACUUGAGUUAUCUUGAGGUAGGCGGAAUGUGUAGUGUAGCGGUGAAAUGCUUAGAUAUUACACAGAACACCGAUUGCGAAGGCAGCUUACUAAGGGUGAACUGACGCUGAGGCACGAAAGCGUGGGGAUCGAACAGG